rnacentral:rRNA from 1 species
GACGUAGGAGGCGAGCGUUGUCCGGAUUCAUUGGGCGUAAAGAGCGCGCAGGCGGCUUGGUAAGUCGGAUGUGAAAUCCCGAGGCUCAACCUCGGGUCUGCAUCCGAUACUGCCCGGCUAGAGGUAGGUAGGGGAGAUCGGAAUUCCUGGUGUAGCGGUGAAAUGCGUAGAUAUCGUAAGGAAGACCAGUGGCGAAGGCGGGUCUCUGGACAGUUCCUGACGCUGAGGCACGAAGGUCAGGGGAGCAAACGGGG